CUUACCCCAUAUUUUAGUACAAUUAUUAUUUCACCUGCCCACUUUAGGAGGAAGGGAGAUUUACUUUCUUUUUCCUAUACAUAUGGGAUGACUGCUUGUAACAAAUCAAUCAUGCUGUGACUCUGUUGUCAAAUAUGUUGAAUUUUCCUGAUUAGUUUGGUUUGGUUUAUUUUGAAUGGUUGUGAUAUGUUUAUGCUUUAUAAACGUCAACAUGACACAUUGUUUAUUCUUGUGUUUAAUGUUAGGCUGACCAAUUAACUGAGGAACAAAUCGCAGGUAAAUAUUUAAAUACUGUAAGAGCUGCUCGGUGGGUUGUCAAUCAAAAUUUACAUACAUUUUGCAAUAUUGGUUUGAGACUCCUGUGACUUGUCAUAUGACUUGAUGAAAGUAGAAUAAUUUCGCAUUUACUGUAUAUCUUAUGGGUGGUAAGCUUUUAAUACAUUGGUAUAUGUCUGUAACAAUUUCAGAAUGUGACAGACAGUUUUUAAAGGAAUCUUUAAUAGUGUUUUUAAUGUCCAGCAGGGCACCAGUAAUUGGCUCAUAAAGUACCAGACAAAGCUUUGAGCUGAUAAAACUGAGGUUACUUUAGAAUUUUGGAGAUAAAUUUCUAGUCAUUUUGAUAACAUUGAUUUUGACAUUUUAAUCUGAGAAUUGUAUAUUGUGGCUUGUAUGCAACAAGAAUAUGGAAUUGAAUAUUUGCUUAGGAGCUCAAAAUGAUGAAGUUUGUACUAUAUUUUUCAGGAAGUUAGAUAAUUUAGCCAACGUCAUGAAAUUUAUAUUGCAGUGUUUACAAAAAAUAAUAUGUUGCUUUAAUUUGAGUAAUCAUCGAAUAUGAACAAUAUAAGUUUAUAUUGCAAUAAACACAAUAGGAUACAUUUGGAUAGUCUUGUGUAGUAAAUUCUGUGCAUAUAAAUUUCUAUAGAAUUCAAAGAAGCGUUCAGUUUAUUUGACAAAGAUGGUGAUGGAACAAUCACAACAAAAGAAUUAGGUACGGUCAUGAGGUCACUCGGACAAAAUCCCACAGAAGCUGAAUUGCAAGAUAUGAUUAACGAAGUUGAUGCUGAUGGUGAGUUUGAUAUUGUGUCAAUGUCUAACCCUGACUCGAGAAGGUGUAUCUUCAAAACUCUUCAAAGUGAUGGAAUUCCAGAACAUGUGGCAGCACUCUCCACUUGACAAGUAAAAUCGUCUGGUGUUAGACAGAGUAAAAUACCAAAGUAGGGUGCAUCAGGGUGCAUUGCCACUUAAAGGGUUAAUAAUUUAAUUCAAACAUUUGUAUUAAUUUUUAAAUUUGUCAACCUUUAAGCAAUUUGGCCGCACUAUUGACAAGUAAAAUCAUCUGGUAUUAAUUAGACAGAAUAAAAUAAUAAAGUGCAUCAUGGUGCAUUGCCAUCUAAAGGGUUAAAGAUGAUGAUAUGUACUGGGUUAUGAUCGUCCUGAUUUGAUUCCAAUGCUUCUUAUAUAUCUGAUUUGACAGUUGUUGACCUCAGUUAAUUAGUAUGUUUAUCAUUUGUGAUUUUUUCUGAUUUACUCUCUGAUAUCCCCAAGGUAAUGGUACGAUUGAUUUUCCCGAAUUUCUUACAAUGAUGGCACGCAAGAUGAAGGAAACUGACAGUGAAGAUGAAAUCCGUGAAGCAUUCCGUGUGUUUGAUAAAGACGGCAAUGGCUUCAUUAGCGCAGCUGAAUUGCGUCAUGUGAUGACAAAUCUUGGUGAGAAAUUAACCGAUGAAGAGGUUGAUGAGAUGAUCAGAGAGGCUGAUAUUGAUGGUGAUGGACAGGUUAACUAUGAAGGUAAUUCCUUAAUUGGUGGUUCCAGUUCCAGCAAGGUUUUUUUAGUGAGGGGGGUGCUAGGCAUGCUGUCAUGAAAUUGCACCUUACAAUUUACAGAUAUGUUGAAAAUUCCUUCUCAUCUCAGUGCCAGAGUCUUUGCUCAACUUCCUAGUUUUGGUCAAGACACAUAGGACCAGAUAAAGUUGCUGAUUUGCUGCAUUAUUGUAUUGUCUGAUUUCAAGGAGAUUGUAUGUCUUUGAGAGCAAAUAAGAAACUUAAGAAUGUAUUUAUUUUUUGCAGAAUUUGUGAAGAUGAUGACUUCAAACUAAAACUGUCCUGGAUUUCCACCAUGGCUGCAUCAUUUGUUCUACAUUGCAUGUGUCUCUACAAGUUAGAAUAACAAUGUGUUGUUUUCACCACUCUCCAUGUUUAAUUUAAUUAAUAGUUUUGUUUAAAGUACUGAAGUCAGAAUAAACUCUGUAAAAUACUGUACUUAUCUUCUGACUCAAGCUAUUAGAGAUUGGUGGUAAGAGACUUAAUAUAUUAUACUGUAUGUACUGUAGUUUGUGUUAUAGUGAAUAUAGAUCCUUAUAGUUUAUUUAUGAUGAUUAUUAACCAAUGAGUGAAUGUUGAGUUUUUAUUUCUUCUUCAUUUUACAUUUUUGUGAACAGCCUCAAAUUCUCCUUGCACAUCUUUUUUAUCUAUCUAACCUCCACCAUUUAUCUUUCUACAACAAAAAUACUCUUGCAAGUUG
rnacentral:lncRNA from 1 species